rnacentral:hammerhead_ribozyme from 1 species
AUUCAGCUGACGAGUCCCAAAUAGGACGAAAUGCGCGUCCUGUAU